rnacentral:rRNA from 1 species
GCAGCAUCAGAUUUGCAAUCUGGUAGCCUUCGGCUGCCCGAGUUGUAAUCUAGAGAAGUGUUUUCCGUGCCGGCCCAUGUACAAGUCCCUUGGAACAGGGCGUCAUAGAGGGUGAGAAUCCCGUCCUUGACAUGGACCCCCGGUGCUUUGUGAUACACUUUCAACGAGUCGAGUUGUUUGGGAAUGCAGCUCAAAAUGGGUGGUGAAUUCCAUCUAAAGCUAAAUAUUGGCGAGAGACCGAUAGCGAACAAGUACCGUGAGGGAAAGAUGAAAAGCACUUUGGAAAGAGAGUUAAACAGUACGUGAAAUUGUUGAAAGGGAAACGAUUGAAGUCAGUCAUGCUCUUUGGAUUCAGCCGUUCUGCGGUGUAUUUCCAUUGAGUGGGGUCAACAUCAGUUUUGACCGCUGGAUAAAGGCACUAGGAAGGUAGCACUCUCGGGUGAACUUAUAGCCUAGCGUCAUAUACAGUGGUUGGGACUGAGGAACGCAGCAUGCCUUUAUGGCCGGGAUUCGUCCACGUACAUGCUUAGGAUGUUGACAUAAUG